UACAUUUCAACAUGAAUCCGAAGGGAAACACGAGGGCGAGAUACUAUGAGACAAACAAGCCUCGUAAAGAUAAAUUCAAAGGCCACAAAGGGAAAAUCAGGAAACAGGAACUGUUCAAAUCCAGGCUGAAGAGUUCCCAAGUCAUCGAUUCUGAAAUAACAGAACUCCAGUUGCGAUAUGCUAAGGUUCAAGCAAAAGACAUAAAGACAUUUUCAGAUUUCCCACUGUCAAAGAAUACUUUAGAUGGGCUUCAAAAGGCUAAGUUUACCACUCCCACAGAAAUUCAGAGGGAAUCCAUUGGACUUGCUCUACAGGGGCAUGACAUUCUUGGUGCAGCCAAAACUGGAUCGGGGAAAACCCUCGCAUUCCUCAUUCCAGUUUUGGAGUGUUUAUACAGACAGAAGUGGAGUUCCAUUGAUGGACUUGGUGCUCUUAUCAUUUCCCCUACAAGAGAGCUGGCUUACCAAACAUUUGAAGUGUUGAAAAAGAUCGGAAAAUUACAUGAUUUUUCUGCUGGCCUAGUCAUUGGAGGAAAGGUUUGUGACAUGUCAAAAAUAGUGUUUAAAUCUGAUAUUAACCACCAAAGGGAUUUUUUUGGCAGCUGUUUCAUGCAUUGUAUAAAACAGAUUUAUGUUAUUACAUAAAGAAAGCAGUAAAACUCACUUGUAUGGAACUCAAAAAUCAAGAAAACUUUUGUUACGAGGAAGUUUUUUCUUUCCCAUCCCUUUAUUUGAACACUGUUAUGUUCCUUUUAUUAGGAGCAAGUUUCACUGGUUUGUUUUUUUUCAUGAUGAUUUCUUGAAUUUCUUGAUUUCUUCAGUUGCUGAAGGAAGAAACGGCCAGAAUAAACCGAACCAACAUCAUCAUCUGUACCCCAGGAAGACUGUUACAGCACAUGGACGAAACCUUCAACUUCACAGCAGACUCACUACAGAUUCUUGUGUUGGAUGAGGCUGACCGAAUAUUAGACCUGGGCUUCAGUCGAGACAUGAAUGCCAUCAUAGAAAACCUGCCCCCAGAGAGACAGACCCUACUGUUCUCUGCCACACAAACCAAAUCGGUAAAGGACCUGGCCCGCUUGAGUCUGAAGAAUCCAAUGUUUGUGUCCGCUCACGAGAAUGCAGAGCAUAGCACACCAACUCAACUUGAACAGAACUAUGUGGUAUGUGAACUCCAUGAUAAAAUCAGCAUGCUGUGGUCCUUUGUGAAGAAUCACCUGAAGUCUAAAGUACUAGUGUUUCUGGCGAGUUGUAAACAGGUGAAGUUUAUCCACGAGAUUUUCCGGCGACUGAGACCUGGGGUAACUGUGUUGGCGUUACACGGGGCCAUGAACCAGCUAAAAAGAGUGGACACUUACAACCAGUUCUGUCGUAAACAGAAUGCUGUCCUCUUCGCCACAGAUAUAGCAGCUAGAGGAUUAGACAUACCAGAGGUGAACUGGGUGAUCCAGCUGGACUGUCCAGAGAAUGCGAACACGUACAUCCACCGGGCAGGGAGAACCGCUCGCUACCAGAAGGGGGGAGAGGCCCUGCUAGUCCUUGUACCAUCCGAGGAGAAGGGGAUGAUAGAACAGCUGGAGGCCAAGAAAAUCCCCAUCAACAAAAUCAGAAUAAAUCCCAAGAAGUUAUGGAGUAUACAGGCAAAGCUGGAGUCCUUACUGGCUUCAGACCCCUCUCUGAAGGAAAUGGCCCAGCGGGCUUUUCUAGGAUACCUUCGAUCAAUUUUUCUGAUGAGCAACAAAAAAGUGUUUGAUGUACACCAACUUGACACAGAAAAGUUCUCUAGUUCUUUAGGUCUUGCCAUUCCACCAAGAAUACGGUUUUUGAAACGAGAGGAAAAAAGACAAGCUGAAAGAGAAGCUCAGAAAAAAGCAAGUUUGGAGAGAUUAACUCAGGCAGCCGAGGAAGCAGGGAGCUCUUUGGGAAGUGAGGAAGAAAACUCUUCAGAACAAGAAUCUGAAUCAGAAGCAGAGCAAGGCCAUACUGUAAAACAUACAGAGGAAUCAGACUCUUCAGAAUCUGAAAGUGAAAGUGAAAAUGUGAGGACUAGUGAAAGUGGUGACCGAUUAGAUUUCAAUUUGGAUGAUGACAAUGACGAUUUGUUUACUGUCAAGAGGACUGUUCUUCCUGAUUCAGAGAGUGAGGAAGAAGAUGGUGAUAAACUAAGCAAAGACAGCAAAGAGAAGAAAGCACAGAGUAAAUAUGCACUAGCAAAAAAAUUACAGAAGAAAAAAGUGAAAGUGAAUACAAAAGUGACAUUCGAUGAAGAAGGAGAGGCUGUGACUGAUGUGAUGAAGAAGUCAACAGUGGACAAGGAUGAGGAAGAAGAAGAGGAGGAGGUGGGAGGGAUCGACAUCGCUGCGGCCAGAGAGAGAAUGUUGGAGGAGGACAAGAUAGAUAAACAGAUCUACAGGGAGCGGGUCAAACAAAAACACAGGGAAGAAAGGUUGAAGAGGAGAGAGGAGAGAAAAGCCAGGAGUAAAAGAGGCCAAGUGGAGGAAGUUGAGGAUGAAAUGUUGGUGCAGCUAGGAGAUUCUGGGGAUGAGGAUGAGAGAGAAGACCCCCUGAGUUUUAUCCCCACCCCAGAGAAUUCUGACGAGUCGGGCGAUGACAGUGAGGAUGAUGUGCCAUCAAAGAAAAGGAGAAUGGUUGUCAACAGUGAUAGCAGUAGUGAAGAAGAAGAGGAGGAGGAAGAUGAGGAGGAGAACAGUAAAGAAGAGGAUGAAGACAGUGAAGAAGAGGAUGAAGAAGACAGUGGGGAAAGCAAUGAAGAGGAGGAAAGUGAAGAUGACAUGGACACUGGUCUUACCUUACAGGAUGAUGAGGAUAUCGCCCUCAGAUUAUUACAAAGCUGAUGUACAUUGUUCAGAGAAAUCUUAUAUCAUGUACUGUUAUUCAUCUUCUCAAAAAAUUAAACUCAAAGGUCAAGGC
rnacentral:misc_RNA from 1 species